rnacentral:sRNA from 1 species
CCUGUGUUUUAGUUCUGAUUCCCUUUCAGUCAUUCGGAGAAAAGUCUCCAACGGAACAAGUACUCGUCUCAGGCAUUCUGGGGGUGCCCGUGGGGCCCCCCCUGAGUUCCUGCCCCCCCCUGAGUCCACGCCCAUCAUCCAGACCACUGUUGAGUCCUCCUCCCCCACUACCAUCAGAUUCGAAGGGAACCCCCAUAGCUGCGCAGUCCGAGAAAAAGGUCUACCACUUCGCAAUUCUCAAAUAACGCGAAUUGAUGAUCUGGUAUUGCUCGCAUGUCCAGGUCCUCGGCAGUCAGAUCGCUACUGCUACUUCGAAGCCAUACCGCCGGUCUUCAAGCAAGGUCACAGCAUAGGGUGGGUGCGUAUCGAGUGUCCACUUCUUCGCACAACAACAGUCUAGGUGAAAAUGUGUACGGGUUUUUGGAUGUUGAUGUGCAUUGAAGUCUAGCAUUGGAAUUAUGCUAUGCAUGCGCUAUAGAGACAAUAUUUACGAGAAGUGAUGUAAACCGCUUGGCAAUAACGUCCCUGCCAUCAUAUUGUAUGCCUGAGAAGGGAAGAUGAUAUCCACCCACUUUACUAUACAAUUGCAAGACGCCACGAAUUAAUAUUUUUUUAAGAAUGGUAUGGAUUGUAUCCCCGUUUGCUCUAAUCUGUCUAAGGGUCUGUUUCAUAUACAUGUGUAUUCAGCAUUAACA